AACGAACGCUGGCGGCAGGCUUAACACAUGCAAGUCGAACGCACUCUUCGGAGUGAGUGGCGCACGGGUGAGUAACGCGUGGGAACAUACCCUGUAGUACGGGAUAGCUCCGGGAAACUGGAAUUAAUACCGCAUACGCCCUUAGGGGGAAAGAUUUAUCGCUAUAGGAUUGGCCCGCGUGACAUUAGCUAGUUGGUGAGGUAACGGCUCACCAAGGCGACGAUGUCUAGCUGGUCUGAGAGGAUGAUCAGCCACACUGGGACUGAGACACGGCCCAGACUCCUACGGGAGGCAGCAGUGAGGAAUAUUGGACAAUGGGGGAAACCCUGAUCCAGCCAUGCCGCGUGAGUGAUGAAGGCCUUAGGGUUGUAAAGCUCUUUCGAUGGUGAAGAUAAUGACGGUAACCAUAGAAGAAGCCCCGGCUAACUUCGUGCCAGCAGCCGCCGUAAUAC
rnacentral:rRNA from 1 species